rnacentral:rRNA from 1 species
UACGAAGGCCCCGAGCGUUAUCCGGAUUUAUUGGGCGUAAAGCGUUAAUCGGCGGCUUGGUAAGUACCUCGUCAAAUUCUGGGGCUCAACCCCAGAGCCGCGGGGUAAACUGCCUGGCUUGAGGUCGGAAGAGGCAAGCGGAACUACCGGUGUAGUGGUAAAAUGCGUUCAUAUCGGUAGGAACACCAAAGGCGAAGGCAGCUUGCUAGUACGAUCCUGACGCUAAAUAACGAAAGCGUGGGGAGCAAAUGGG